rnacentral:rRNA from 1 species
CUAAGGGAAUUAAUCCUUAGUGUUUUCUGCUCAAUGAAUUUUAAAUUGCCGCAGCAAUAAACUGUGCUAAGGUAGCAUAAUCAUUUGUCUACUAAAUAUAGACCCGUAUGAAUGAAAAACUGAGAUUUAUACUAUUUCAUAAAAUCAAUUAAAAAUUUAUUUAAAGGUGAAGAAGCCUUUAUACACUCGUUAGACAAGAAGACCCUAUGAGCUUAAAUUUAAACAUUACUUACAUGUCAAAAAAUUCGACUGGGGCGGUCACCAUUAUACAAAACAAUUAUUAAUAUAUAACAAGAUAAACAAAUCAUACAUGAGAUCUAUAAAUAAUAAUCUACGAUUAAAGCUACCGCAGGGAUAACAGACUAAUUUUCUUCAAAAGUCCAUAUUUAAAAGAAAGAUUUGCACCUCGAUGUUGGCUUAUAUUAUUUUUCUAAAGUAAAAAUUAGAAAAAAAGGUUUGUUCAACCUUUAAUAUAUU